GUCGGAAUGAUGACCUCGUCGCCCGGAUCGAGCGAGGCCAUCAUGGCGU
rnacentral:sRNA from 1 species